CACGGGGGGAGCAAGCGUUGUUCGGAAUCACUGGGCGUAAAGGGCGUGUAGGCGGUCAAGUAAGUGGAAUGUGAAAUCCCUCGGCUUACCCGAGGACCUGCAUCCCAAACUGCUUGGCUUGAGUAUGGGAGAGGAUGAGGGAAUUCCUGGUGUAGCGGUGAAAUGCGUAGAUAUCACGAGGAACACCGGUGGCGAAAGCGCUCAUCUGGCCCAAUACUGACGCUGAGGCGCGAAAGCUAGGGGAGCAAACGGG
rnacentral:rRNA from 1 species